GACAAAAGCCCUGGAGAGGUAAAUAAAGGGAUAUAGUGCAUCUGUGUCUUUGAGGGAAACUCAGACGCUGUGUAAGCUUGUUUCCUCUACCAGCAGGGCCACGACCAUAAUAAAUCAGACGUUUGUGAAGCUACGUGGCCUCACUACCUGGCUCUUCUCCUAGGCCACAAAACAGGAUUCAGAAUUUGUGAGCUGGUCGAUUGCUUUUUCUCAAUAAGCGUGGCAGGUAGUUUUCAGUCCCUAUUUUUCAGAUUUCUCUCAUGGCCAUUGGGUCUUUUCCUUGUACUACUCUCCAUUAUGUGUCCUAGACACUUCUCAUCUAUUGGAACUCUCUUUGGGAAGAAGGCUGAGGAUAAAGCAUGGAACAGAACAGUGGGUCUGUAAAGGGACUGGAUGUGAACUGUGAUGUGCCGAAUUUGACAACCUCAAGCAAGGUAGUAGAUACUAUAAAUACUUUGACGAAAAGCAUCUAAGUGGAUCAUGUUGAGGAACGUUGAAGCCUAUCCCAAGAUAGUUUCUAGGCUUGUCCAAAAUUCAUGAUUUUGAGAGGAUGUGGAUAAUAUUGUAUUGAGCUGUGGAAAGAAGAUCUGAAAGAAGGAAAGUAUUGCAGAGGACAAAUGAACUGCUGGGCAGGUCUGUCCCUGGGAGCAGGCACAGUGUAUGCCAUGGGACAUGUUUGUAAUUGCUUUCCCAUAAAACUCGAUUGAUUCCAUCAUUUGGUGGACUCUUCCCUGUGGAAACACACAUAUGAUUUUUAUAACGGAUGUUUAUAACAAAUGAUUCACUUUGCUUUUAUAAACUGUUUGGCCUAACAUAGCUAUUCCAUAAAGUGAGAGAUACCACAUUGCUUGGUGAGAUAUAUUUCUUAUUACAUGUUUUAAGUUUAAUAACAAUUCAUUUCAUAGAAUGAUCCCUUGGUUCCCCUAGAAACAAUGUUGAAACUAAUGCUUAUGUCAUUGCCAGAAUGCUUUCCUUCCCCCUGAGACUGAAUAGCUCGUUUCUGUGAAUUUGCUUCCAAACACUGAGGGAGGGAAUGAUCGAAGCUAACUCCUCAAACAGACUUCUGCCCAGAUGCACAGUACGUGAUGCCAAAGCCACAUGGUCAUCCCAUGGGAAAAAUGAACAAGUCAAAGCUCUGGAAAGCAAACAGAGUUAAUUAUCCGUGAGGGAUCCAGACUGUACUUAAAGAGUUGACUUAGAGACACUGUUGGAUCAUGGGCUACCGGGAAAAGAGAGGCUGGUAUAUUUUCUGCUGAACUUCAUUUUUGGAUCCCCCAUGAAUGCAUCAGCUCUGGUUUGGUAAGACCUCAGGGCUUGUGGCUGGUGAGAGGCAGUGAAGGACUUGGUGCUAAGUGUUUGGGUCUCAGAGAAAAUCUGCCAUGGCCAGUUGAGCUGCCA